rnacentral:lncRNA from 12 species
UGAAAACUCACCAUGUAAAUGAGUGAUCAGAAAUACAUACUAUUCUUGUAAAAUGUCUCAAAAUACCUGAUUACACUGUCAGUGUUAACAUCUUUUAAAACAGUAGUCAUGGCCUAUAAAAGAUGCCUAGGUGUUUAUCUAUGUCAUGUGUGGAUAGCACCCAGAUAAAUCUCAGGAAAAAUGUAUAUGAAAUGGUCAGUGUGUUAGCGAUUAUUGAUAUGGAGUGUUCACCUGAAUGGUGAGCAUGAACAGAAGCAUGCUUGUGCCAACAAAGAAGAAUCCAAACAUAGGUGAUGUCAACAGUGAGAAAAGAGGAAGUAAGAUGUGAUUUGAUGACUGACAUAUUCAUCACCUGAUCACUUGGAAUGUGAGGGCAGCCUGCUACCUCAUGUCAGCAUCCAUUAUAAGGCACCAUGCAAUGUGACAUGACACGGUAUGACAGAUGCAAUCCAACUCAAUAUGGCACCUGUGAAGUCAUUGCAGAUGAGGGAGUAGAGCUCAUGUGCUCUCAUAUCUUAGCAAAGAAAUAUUGGAGAAAUGCUCAGGGCAGUAUUGAGGAGCACCUGCAGAGCCUUUAUGAGGGCUGCAGUCAUGCCUCCUCCACCCCACUCCCAACAGUGUGGAUGACAAGGAGGGAAGAGAGCAGGCUCACUGCAGAGAUCCACUGGAAAAAUCACUAUAACGUGAAUGGAAACAAGAAGUUCAGAGAAGAUUUAGCAGCAGGAUAGCCCCAUGACACAGAGGCAGAUAAACCCACUAAAUGAG